UUGGAGGGCAAGUCUGGUGCCAGCAGCCGCGGUAAUUCCAGCUCCAAUAGCGUAUAUUAAAGUUGUUGUGGUUAAAAAGCUCGUAGUUGAACCUUGGGCCUGGCUGGCCGGUCCGCCUCACCGCGUGUACUGGUCCGGCCGGGUCUUUCCCUCUGUGGAACCCCAUGCCCUUCACUGGGUGUGGCGGGGAAACAGGACUUUUACUUUGAAAAAAUUAGAGUGCUCCAGGCAGGCCUAUGCUCGAAUACAUUAGCAUGGAAUAAUGAAAUAGGACGUGCGGUUCUAUUUUGUUGGUUUCUAGGACCGCCGUAAUGAUUAAUAGGGACAGUCGGGGGCAUCAGUAUUCAAUUGUCAGAGGUGAAAUUCUUGGAUUUAUUGAAGACUAACUACUGCGAAAGCAUUUGCCAAGGAUGUUUUCAUUAAUCAGGAACGAAAGUUAGGGGAUCGAAGACGAUCAGAUACCGUCGUAGUCUUAACCAUAAACUAUGCCGACUAGGGAUCGGACGAUGUUAUUUUUUGACUCGUUCGGCGCCUUACGGGAAAC
rnacentral:rRNA from 1 species